CGGGGUGUAGCGCAGCUUGGUAGCGCGCCGCGUUCGGGACGCGGAGGUCGUGGGUUCAAAUCCCGCCACCCCGACCA
rnacentral:tRNA from 1 species